rnacentral:rRNA from 1 species
GAUCAUGGCUCAGAUUGAACGCUGGCGGCAGGCCUAACACAUGCAAGUCGAACGGUAACAGGAAGCAGCUUGCUGCUUUGCUGACGAGUGGCGGACGGGUGAGUAAUGUCUGGGAAACUGCCUGAUGGAGGGGGAUAACUACUGGAAACGGUAGCUAAUACCGCAUAACGUCGCAAGACCAAAGAGGNGGACCUUCGGGCCGUCUUGCCAUCGGAUGUGCCCACGAUGGGAGUUAG